GUCCUUCAGCUCAACAUUAUUUCGAAAUAAUGGCUUGCUGUGCAGACACUAUUAUUUUGGAAUGACGUUAUUCCAAAAUAAUGCCGCUGUGUAGACAUAGCUUUAUUUUUUUUACACUCCAACAAUCUCAAACCUUAUGUGUCUUUGCUCCAUGAUACUCUUCAAUAUAUGGUCCCUCGGGUGAGAUUACUAACAAAGGUACCAAUUGUGACGGUAUCAGGAAGAGUAUAGGCUGCCAACUAGUUCUACAGGCUUGACUUUGCUUAUAAAUAUCAGGACAUUUGAGCAUUUUGCCAAUUUAAUAUUAGCCAAAGUGGACUUAGAGGCUCAUAUUUCAUAAUUAUACUUCAGAACUAGCAUGUGCUCAUAUAUGGGUGAAUUUCUAAUUUUGAAAAGCAAAGUACAACAAAAUUCAGUACAAAGAAGUGUCUGUGUUUGUCACCAACAUCUAGUGUCCAAUCCCUGAUUCCUGUAACCUCCAAUUAUCUGCAAGAGGUAGCCAUAUUGUGGUAAAAUAUUAUAUUGUUAGUAUUUGGCCAACUCAUUUUUUAAAUGAGAGUCAUGGAGAUGUCAUGUUGGAAAAGCAAAAGUAACUGUAAAUAUGAUUUUAACAUGGGUGGUUUUGGAAUCCGGUUCCAAUUUUAGUGCUGUGAUAACAGUUUUUAUCAUAGAAGAUACUAUAAAAGAUCCAAAUUGACGAAACCCAAGUUAGUUUUUCCAAGUGUGGUCUAAGGCACAUGCCUAAACAUUAAGAAUGCAGACAAUCCCAAUGAAGUACCUUUUUGAACUAGGGUCUUAAAAGAAGUUUUUAACCUGAGAGUAGGGCCAAGAGAUUAUUAUUUCUUACUCAAACUCUGUCUUUUCAGUCUUUUGUGUUGAAUUAGCAUAAUCAUGGAGCUCUUGCUUUCUAUUGGCUUCCUAGGCAGACAAUGGGUAUAAUUUGGGAUGAACAAUUUUUUAGUUCCAACAGUUUUCUAUAGUACUACUCAUAUUCAAAUAAAUUAAUGUAACAACAUAAAAUUGCUCUUAAUGAAGAAAGUUACUGAAGCAUUAAUGACAACAAACUUCAAACAAACAUCAUGCGAGUUUAUUUUUUCCUUGCCUUUCAGAUUUUCACUGCAGCCGUAUUGCUGCCCAUACACAGACUUAUCCAUCAAAAUAUUGACAAUAUAAUGCAUCCUUCUUUAGGAUUAGAAAACUAAACUUACUCAAGUGCACGUACAAGCACUGCAUCCUCUGCAAAAUGGCUCUAUUAAGAGAAUAGUGGACAACAUACAAAUACGACAAAUGAUUUCAACGUCCACCAAGUGUCCCAAUCAGAUAAAUCAAGAUGGAAAACAAAGUCCAGAGAAUGAAGUGCCAGUAACCAUAAUAUCUAAUCCUUCCCAAAUAACUGCUGAAACAGGCAAAAUGAGAGUUUUCCAAGAGACCUCAGAACCAAAAGUAACCAGCCAUAAUUCUUCCACACACAAACACCAGGUUUAUUUGAGUCACAGCCAUUUGUGACACCAUGAGACAAGAGAGCAUGAUUUGCCUUUUAUGCAACAAAGCAACUAUACUCCACUGUGUUCUGAUUAUUCUAUCCCUGUGCCUGUAUCAACAAGUAGUAACAGUGUAAUCUUCAAAAUCUUGCUAACAGGACUGUUCACUAAAUGAAUGUCACUCUAAAAAGCUUCUGUCUUAUUCAGUGACAGGGAUUUGAAAAACAGCAUGUACAAUGCAUCUCUUAUUUCAAUUAAGAAAACAGCAGCCAACAUCUUAAUGCUUGAAGACUAAACAUUCACACAUGAGGAAACAUCUACUUUCCCCCACCCCACCCACAUAUCCCUCUCCCAAGGCCUAAGAAAAUUUCACUUUCUUCAAGAACACAAGAGAGAGGCAAGACAUUUUUCAAGACUAUGAAAGUGUUAUGGCUGAAACAGCAGAGAUGCACUGGUAUUUCGCUGCUUUACUAAAACAGGAGCCAAUGAGUCUAUGACUGGAAGGUAGCCAACGUGACACCAAUAUUUAAAAAGGGCUCUAGAGGCGAUCCUGGCAAUUACAGACCGUCUCAGUGGAACUCCUUUUUUAACAGUUUCAACUAAUGAAGCUAUAACAGUCCUGUAGAAGGAAACAAAAAAGUCCUUCAAAGAAGGCAGAGAGAUGAAAUUGCAACUACCUUUGACUUAUGACCAUGCUAAGAAGGGUGCUGUCUUGGCAUAACUGACACUUAGAAACCAGCAAGAGGAGAAAAUGGCCAUUAAAAAGCAUUAACCGAAAUCAAGGAAACAUUUAACCAAAAGUGUCUAUAGAAAGUACAGAGAACAAAGGAAUGGAGCAAGGCAUGAAGGACAGACAGACUUUCUGGAAAGCUCAAGAAAUUCUGCUAUGGUCCCGGUUUCCUAUAUCCAAACAUUAAAGGUUCAGCACAAGAUACAAAAGCACACUGAAGCUGGCAAUUUUCCUCAUUGUUUUGAGUCCCCAUCUAUCCCCCUCUACUAAUGUCUCCUUAAAUGUUUAGUAUUUUAAUUUUGUUCAACAUACUGGUUACUGAAACAAAUAACUAGGGGCACUUAAAAGUUCAUUCCUGCCCUAGAGAGUUUAUGGAAUUCAGCAAUAUUCACCAUAUGUGCUGCAAAUCUCUCUAGAACUAGAAUGAACUAUAAGUGUAUCCACUACAUAUAAUCCUAAUGUUAUGCAAAAAUUCUUAGUAAUAAAACAAAUACAAUUAUUUUCCGUAAAUAUUAAUUAAAAUGUUUUUAGAAGCUGGCCAGAAGAGGUCAGCAGUGCUAGCUUUCGGGAAACAGAGAUGGACAGGAAUGAACAUAAAGAAAGAAAUGGA